rnacentral:rRNA from 1 species
AUUGAACGCUGGCGGCAGGCUUAACACAUGCAAGUCGAGCGGGGUGAUGGUGCUUGCACUAUCACUUAGCGGCGGACGGGUGAGUAAUGCUUAGGAAUCUGCCUAUUAGUGGGGGACAACAUCUCGAAAGGGAUGCUAAUACCGCACACGUCCUACGGGAGAAAGCAGGGGAUCACUUGUGACCUUGCGCUAAUAGAUGAGCCUAAGUCGGAUUAGCUAGUUGGUGGGGUAAAGGCCUACCAAGGCGACGAUCUGUAGCGGGUCUGAGAGGAUGAUCCGCCACACUGGGACGGAGACACGGCCCAGACUCCUACGGGAGGUAGCAGUGGGGAAUAUUGGACAAUGGGGGGAACCCUGAUCCAGCCAUGCCGCGUGUGUGAAGAAGGCCUUAUGGUUGUAAAGCACUUUAAGCGAGGAGGAGGCUCUUUUGGUUAAUACCCAAGAUGAGUGGACGUUACUCGCAGAAUAAGCACCGGCUAACUCUGUGCCAGCCGCCGCCGUAA